rnacentral:miRNA from 1 species
GAUAUACAGUUAUAUCAACACGAGUGGAAAUUGAGAAAACGAGAAAUUGUGUGGAAACACGACGCCCGAAGGGCGGAGUGUUUUCACACAAUUUCGAGUUUUCCCAACUUCCACGAGUGUUGAUAUAACUAUAUAUC